GUCCGCUCUGGGGCUGUACAAGUACUUGACUUAUGACGCAGGAAGUCAGGGAGGCUGAUAAGAACAGAUAAAGCGAGCUGUUUUGCUGAUGGUCUCACUCUGUCACCCAGGUUCGAGUGCAGUGGUGCUAUCUCACCUCACUGAAACCUUCGCCUCCCGGGUUCAAGCAAUUUUCCUGCCUCAGCCUCCUGAGUAGCUGCGAUUACAGCAUCUGCACUGGGCCAGGGUUAUGCUACGUGUGGUCAUGCAAAGCUAGGCAGAAGCAGACAGGACCCCUGCUCUCAUGGAGCUUAGAGUCAAGUGCAUGAAAGAGACAUCAAUCAAGACAUCAGCCAUAUAAUGGUGCCUGAGCCUGGGGCAGGCAGCAGAGGCCACCAGUGACCGAUCUUUUCCAAAGUGCACCUUCAAAGGACUGAGAGCGCCUAUUUCCUCAGCAAGCCAGAAACAAUGGUCCUAGAACCAGCUUCUAAAAUAGAGGGAAGCUUGGCGGAGGUUUAAGAUGUGUCGCUAGAUGGCAGUAUUUCUGAAGUUCAUUGGGAAGGAGCCAUAUUUGGAAUUACAUCUGCUGUUUUAUUGGAAAGUCAGACAAAACAUUAUAACUACUAUUUAUCGAAGGCAUAUUAGGUACCAAGCUUUGUGUAAGUGUUUUAUCUCCUGUUAUGUUCACAUCAACAUGGUAAGUUUGUCAAAAUAAGUGUCCUCUUCUCACAGAUAAGAGAAAACGUUUUAAAACAAUUAAAUGAUAACAGUAUGAACAGGAAUCCAGCUAAGCAGUUUUCAGGUAUUAUAUUGUUUAGCUCCCAGUUGGUCUACGCCAUAGGUAAUAGUACAGUCCUCAUUUUGAAGAUGAGGAAACGGAGACUAAAAGAGGUUAGGUCACAUGCUCAAGGUCACACAGCUUGUAAACUACAGAACCAUGGUCUUAACCAGGUCAGUCCGACUGUAGCCCAUUCUCUUAAACACUCCUUUCUUUCUUUGGCGAGACAAGAAAAGGAUUAAAUAUGCAACUGUUUUCCCUGCCCUGCAUGGGCAUUAGUAAGUGAUAAGAGUUGCAUAGAGCCCUCUAUGCAAAUUACUUUUAGUGACAGUAGUAAAAAAUUCAAAAUUAUCAGAGGAGAAUGCUGUUGCCCUAAAAAUUAAAGCAUAAUAUUUCUCACAGAUUCGAGAUAAAUUCUCCAGAAUUUGCAUAUAAAAUUCUCCAUUCUUUAACAGUACAGCUUCUUAGAACUUGUUAAAAAGAUGGAAUUGCUGCUUUCCUGCUCUUUUCAAAGGUAAGAUUGACGAAGUUAUGCCCACACCGUUCUUAUGCAACUUCACAACCCAAAUCAAAUUUCCCAGAAACGGACACCAGAGUACUACUGCUGCCAUCUUGAUAACAUACUUCUCUUAUGACAUAUUAUGGCCAAUUUCCUUAAAAUUAUUCACGAUGACUCAAAGCCGCACAGCCAGUGGGUUCAGGAGGGAUUCUUUGUUGUUGUUUUUUCGGUCUACUGACAUCAGGUGGUUUGCUGACAUUUUGUUAACUCGUGGUGAAUAUUCACAGAGCCCUGCCAUUGUAUUCUAAUUGUACAUGUAUUCUGUAUGCUUUGGAAGAGUAUUCUCUUGCCUGUUGGCCAGAGGUUUCUUCUUUGAUUUAACCAUCUUAUUAAGUGAAAUGGAUGAUUUUAAAAAAGCAUCUGCUGUCUGCUAAAAAGAGACUAUCCUGGUAGAAUGGCAAAGUAUGUUGUAAGUGAAGUUAUUCCUAGAGCACAGCAGUGAAAAGAGGUGUAAUGUAUUGGUCUUGGAGAAAGGGUUAAGGGAGAUGAAGAAACAAAAGAAAGUGGCUGAGCGCAGGGGCUCACACGGUAAUCCCGCCUCUUUGGAAGUGGCUGAGCGCAGUGGUUCACAUGGUGAUCCCGGCACUUUGGGAGGCUGAGGUGGGCAGAUCACUUGAGGUCAGAAGUUUGAGACUACUCUGGGCUACAUGGCAAAAUCCUGUCUCUACCAAAAAUACAAAAAAUUAGCUAGGCGUGGUGGCGGGUGCCUGUAAUCCCAGCUACUUGGGAGGCCGAGGGAGGAGAAUCACUUGAACCUGGGAAACAGAGGUUGCAGUGAGCGGAGAUCGUGCCACUGCACCCCAGCCUGGGCAACAGAGUAAGACCUUGUUGAAAAAACAAAACAAAAACCCAAGAGCAAUUCACCAACUGAACUGCUGUAGGUGCCAAUUUUGGUAGAAACAUCUGUAUUCCAAAUUUCACUCCUCUCAGAUAUUUCUCUUUUAAUUAAAAUUUUUCUGGAAGUAAAAUUUAAUUGAUUCCUAGGAGUACCUGGCUGUAGGCACCAUUGUGGUCCAGAGACCUAUUCGAAAAGCUGAGAUGCUCAAACUCAAGAUAUCACUUUAAAAACUCGCCUCUAUCUUUACCUAAUCGAAAAUACCCAAAAGUCUUCCAGAUUAUAUAACAAACUGGUUCUCACUGGCUGCCAGGUAGGAACAAUGGCCCUGCAGUUACUCAGAUGACACGGAGGAGGAUGACAACAAAAGUUUUUGCCAUUCUAUUCAAGUGUCACUUGCGAACUAAGCCUCCUCCUAGUCUUUGAAACAAAGAAGAAAGGAAUUUCCCAAUGCCUUAGCAAAGGUUCAUGUUCAUUGGCAUUUGUGACCCUCUGGACUGCUUACAUGUGAACUUUUUCUUUAAAACAAUUCUCUAAGUUUAGUUCGUUAGUUUUGAUUCAGCCCAGAGUAAACUUAGGAGGGAUGCUGUAUUGAAAAACAUUUGUAUUUCUUAGCAGUUGCAACAGAGAAGGUAGGGAUUGGAGGUUCCGAGAUGAAAGAAUACUUAACCUUUCACUACCAAUAGUUUCUAGAGCAACUCUGGUUACCUUCAAAUAACCGUUUGAAAUAGCAGAGGAGCUGAUUACUUACAUUUUUCUCUUUCUCUCAUUUCCCUCCUUCCUUCCCUCCUUCCUUCCCUCCUUCCUUCCUUCCUUCCUUCCUUCCUUCCUUCCUUCCUUCCUUCCUUCCUUCCUUCCUUCCUUCCCUCCUUCCUUCCUUUCUUUCUUUUUUUGACAGAGUCUUGCUCUGUUGCCCAGGUUGGAGUGCAGUGGCAUGCAGUGGCAUGAUCUUGGCUCACUGCAACCUCUACCUCCCAGGUUCAAGCAAUUCUCCUGCCUCAGCCUCCCGAGUAGCUGGGAUUACAGGUGCCCUCCACCACACCAGGCUAGUUUUUGUAUUUUUAGUUUAGUAGAGAUGGGGUUUCUCUAUGUUGGCAGGGCUGGUCUCGAACUCCUGACCUUGUGAUCCGCCCUUGUUGGUCUCCCAAAGUGCUGGGAUUACAGGCAUGAGCCACUGAACCCAGCACUUCAUUUUCUUUUGUUUCAUUUGCUUGUUUGUUUGAGAUGGAGUCUUGCUCUAUCACCCAGGCUGGAGUACAGCAUGGCACUAUCUCAGCUCACUGCAACCUCUUGCCUCCUGGAUUCAUGCGAUUCUCCUGCCUCAGCCUUCUGAGUAGCUAAGAUUACAGGUGCCCACCACCAAGCCCGGCUAAUUUUUAUACUUUUAGUAGAGACGGUGUUUUGCCAUGUAGCCCAGGCUGGUCUCAAACUGCUGACCUCAGGCGAUCUGCCCGCCUUGGCCUCCCCAAGUGCUGAGAUUACAGGUAUGAGCCACCGUGCCCUGCCUCUUUGUCUCAUUCUCUUUGUGCCUCAGGUAUGGGAGGGAGAGGAGAUGCUGUGUGAGAGCAAUACUUGCAAGCUGCCUGGAGCAUAAAGCAAGGCGCUUUUACUGCAAUCCUGUCUCUUCAAGGCAACAUACUUUCCCAUUUACCAGGAUAGGCCCUUUUUAGCAGACAGCAGAUGCUUUUUAAAAUCAUUCAUUUCACUUAAUAAGACGGUUAAAUCAAAGAAGAGACCUCUGGCCAACAGGCAAGAGAAUACUCUUCCAAAGUAUACACAAUAUAUGUGUAAUUAGAAUACAAGGGCAGCCGCAAUGUAGCUUCCUCCUCAAUGCUUUAGACAGGGAGACUCUGGGACGUUGCUUGUAAUAUGGAUAACCAUAAUAAAUGCAUAACAAAACGCAUUCCUAUAUGUAUGAUCUCACUAAAUUGAACGAAGUGGAGAAGAGCUUUGUAUGGGCAGGCAACAGAUGUUUGUUUCAGGCAAAGAUUUUUCUUCCUGCAGAGGAAUAAUUCCUAGAAUAAGUAUGUAUAUCUGAAUAUUGUGGGGGUUGAAUAAUUUGAUGGGCCUUAAUACCUUCGAAGAAACAAAAGACUUUUUUGAUAGGUGGGGUCAAGUCAUCGCCAGAAGUUCAUGUCAAAUACAGAAUGUGUCGGGACAAAGCUAGAAAAUACUUUUCGAGUAUUUCAUUUGUUGAAUUCGGCCUCUGGCUCUCUUCAAGAAUUUUGACAAGUGAACCUGCGGUAAAAAUAUUCACCUUCUUGCCAUCUUCAAGAUUUUCUCUGCCAAAUAUUUCUGGCCUAACCUGCUGCUUUGUUAGCUGCUCCUCCCUUCUUCCUUCCCUCCCACGUAGCUCCCCUCACCCCAUGAAAAUGUAUUCUCUGUCCCCUUCUCCAAAUAUAAGCUUCCUGACUGCAGGUCUUACCUGUUUAUGCCCAUGGAAUACACCAUGGGUUAGAGUCACAUUCUCUUAAUCCUGUCCCAGGUUCCUUCAGGGGUCUCUUGCAAAUUCUUGAAGAAUAAAGGCUUUCAAGCCUAACCUUCAACUUGUUUUCACUUAAAUGCCUCCUAACCCGACCCAUUGCUUCUAUACCAUGUUAAGUGUGCAUUGGCGUGUCGGAGAAACUCGCUAUGUCACUUUGUCUUUGCAAAAUAUAGUUUUCAUGUUUAUAAUGUGAUCACAUGAGGAGACUUUAAUGUGUCUUCUAUACUGAAGAAUUACAAAUCAUGUAAUAGUAAUUUAAAAUGAGCAAUUUUAGUUUGUCGCAUUUCUGACGGUUACCUCUAUAACAGCAAAUAACAUGAAAUCCCUUUCAUUCUUAGGAAUUAUGGGCAGCAUCUUUUGUCUUACAACAUAAAAGGAGAACUUAACUCACACUCUCCUCCUCUCCUUUGCUGACUUUGCAACCUCAAGUCCUGAUGAUGAUCAGUAGUUUUGUUUCUUCUGAUGGUCACCUUUGUGAAAAGAAAAUAAAUCUGAGGACUCUAAAGUCACUAAGUCGAAUGGUGAAGCCAAGCUGGGAACUGCUUCAAGCCAACCUGCUUCCCAUUUUAUUUCUAAAUCAAAUAAUACAGAGAGAGAAAAGCUACACACCUCCCUCACAGUUUACCCACAAGGAAAUUCCUUGUGGGCCUCAAGGUCUUUACCCUAAAACGGUUCUGUUGAAUUUCACCUUGGCAGUGUAAGUUGAUAGCUUAUUUUCACAGGUGCAGGACAAAGGACAGACUCAAAGUCAUCCGUCUGCUCACCUGAGACAAACGCAUAUCUGAUUGCUGCUUCUGUUCUGUUGUUUAAGUGAGAAUGCAGAUUCACUGAGCCAGUUCAAGCCAUAAAUGACUAUUUCUCUACCCCCACUUCACAUGUAAGUUGUGUACGCAAUGGAAGUUUGGUCAAAGACUCAAAAGAAUGAAACCAUUUGUCUCUGAACUACCUAUGACUGGGAAGCCCCCAUUUCAAGUUGUCCUGCCUUUUGAGACCGACUUACGUCUUACAAAUACUGACUACACGUCUCCCUAAAAUGUAUAAAAGCAAGCUAUACCCCGACCACCUUGCGUACAUGUUGUCAGAAACUCCUAAGGCUGUGCCACAGGUGCAUUCUUGACCUUGACAAAAUAGACUUUCUAAAUUGAGACCUGUCUACAGAUACUUCUGGUUCACACUUUUCCUAAUUCUAAGUAAUAUGUGUUAGCCUGUCUGCUUUGCCAACUUUCUCGACCCAUUGAUUUAAGAAGUGGACAUUCUUAAUGCAUAUGUUUCACCUUUUCCCAUCCCUUCUCUCCCAGCUCAGUGUCUGAAUGCUAUAUUGUUAUUUUCAGUGUUCAGAAAGCUCAGACCAGAUGGUAAUCACUGGAUUUUCUGCCCUUUGUUCUCUUGCUGUACCUUACAAGAGGCUACACCUUACGAGAGGCUACACCUUACGAGAGGCUUACACAUCUUUCUCAGUAUGUCUAUUAAAUUUUUCAUUUUGGCAAUAAUAUUGUUAAUUACCAAAGAAUAUCUUUUUCUAGCGUUGCUCCUUUUUGAUAGCAGCCUCUGGUUUUGUUUUAUGGUUUCAAUAUCUUCUUAUAUUUCUCUGUGGUAUCAACAAGAAAACUCCCUUCUAUCUUCCGCUUUACAUCUGUUUUCUCUGCAGUUAGUUGUUCUACUUAUUAGAAAUAUCAUUUGGGAAGAAGAACAACCAAGAAGAAAUAUCAACUUGGUUGUUCUUUUUUGUGCAAAUUCACUCUCUUGCCUGAUCUUAUUUGUGUAUGAGGUUAGGGUGGUAAAUACAGUAGUGGUUCACAAUGCUCAGUUAGGAAGGCUAGAGAGCCAGGGUCUUGUACAUUGGUAGGUAUUUUAUGAGGGAAAUUGAACAAUAUGUAUCAAGAAUCUUAAAGUUGUUUGUAUCUACUGACACACAGGUCUACUUUUAGGUACCCACCUCUUUAGAAAUAAGCAGAUUAUGCACAAAGAUAUUCACAUAAAUACAAGUAAAUAGAGGACCAGUUAAAUACAUUUGGUGGAAUAUAGUGCAGCAUUAAAGUUUACGUUUGAAAUAGAUUUUUAAUAAUAUGGGAAAGAUUGUUCAUGUAUAUGUAUCUGUAUUUAUUUGAAGAUUUUUUGGUCAUUUUUAAAAAAACCACAUACAUAAGAAUAUAAUGCAUCAGCAAUUUAAGUUUAAUUACUUAAAAACAAGUCAAGAUCAGAUGGACAAGAGUAGGUGGAAGGUAUUAAGGCCCAUAAAAUUAUUCAACCCCCACAAGGUGUGAACCAGCCACACCUUGCUCCCCUCUCUGAGUUACCUGAAUUCCCUGUCCCUGACUCCUGGAUGAGCCAGCUUAGUUUCCCGCCUUUGGUUUUGUAAUGGGAGUAUUGACUGACUGAUGGACUGGAGAUGGAUGUGACUUCAUUCGCAAUUCACAGCCCUGUGACUCUCUACUUCGUCACUGUGUUCGUGCGAGUGUGUAAGACUCCUUUCACCCCUCCUCCUCUUUUGCCUUAACUUUAACCCCAAAUGUUUCACUGGCUUUGUUCUAGGAACCCCAAAUCUUGGCUACAGUCUGUUGAAAGACAAACUUAGGUGCGCUGAAAUUUUAAAGAGAUUCUUUGAGGAACCAGUGAUUCAUGAACGGGGUGGCACCAAACCACAAGUGCUUAGGGCUUCACAGAAGGGGUGUGCAGGGAAAACUUUUAUGAGAUGCUUGCAGAGGAGCAAGACAAAGAACACACUUGAUUGAUUAAAGUGGAAUCCGCCUAGUUAGAGGUUAGUUGGUGGUUUCUGAUUGGUUGAGCUUAAGUUUGUUUUACUGUUUACGUUGAGUUGCUUAUGUAAGAAGCCAGGGAACUGGAGCCAUUUCAGCCUAAUGGCUUCCCAAAUGAUAUUUCUAAACAACUUAUUUGAUGUCUUCCUUGAGGGAGCAGCUCACAUGCCCUCCCCAACCCCCCACUUUUUUUUUGUUUUUGAGAUGGAAUCUCACUCUUUCACCCAGGCUGGAGUGUAGUGGCACAAUCUUGGCUUGCUGUAACCUCCAUCUCCUGGGUUCAAGUGAUUCUCCUGCCUCAGCCUCCCUAGUACCUGGGAUUUCAGGCACCCUCCACCAUGCCUGGCUAAUUUUUGUAUUUUUUUCGUAGAGACAGGCUUUCGUCAUGUUGGCCAGGCUGGUCUCAAACUCCUGACCUCAGGUGAUCUGCCUGCCUCAGCCUCCCAAAGUGCUGGGAUUAUAGGCAUGAGCCACCACACCUGGUCUCACCUGCCCCAUUCUGCAGGGCCUCCUUCUGCCACUUCUCUGCCAUCUCCCUGCCUAGUGGAACCCCAGCAACUGGCAAAAAUCAAAAUUAGGAGAAAUCAUUCAUAAAAUUGAAAGGGAAGGAGGAUUAUAAUUCAGGCCCUGCUUUCUCUAGAGAGUGAGGAUUCACUGAGGGUGUGCACAUGAGAUUAUGUGAUUAAUAUGGCAGUUCUAAGAAGGCUUAUUGGAGGGCAGUGUAAAAAACUGAUUAGGUACAAAGAGACUGAGGAGGAAGAGAAAAAUGAGAGCACUGUUUCAGUAAUCCAGAUGUGAGGCAGUGAGUAGCUGAACCAACUUGAAAAAAAUGUCAAUAAGAAAAGAAGGCAGGGCCGGGCGCAGUGGCUCAAGCCUAUAAUCCCAGCACUUUGGGAGGCCGAGGCGGGUGGAUCGCGAGGUCAAGAGAUUGAGACCAUCCUGGUCAACAUGGUGAAACCCCAUCUCUACUAAAAAUACAAAAAAUUAGCUGGGCAUGGUGGUGCGUGCCUGUAAUCCCAGCUACUCAGGAGGCUGAGGCAGGAGAAUUGCCUGAACCCAGGAGGCGGAGGUUGCGGUGAGCCGAGAUCGCGCCAUUGCACUCCAGCCUGGGUAACAAGAGCAAAACUCCGUAUAAAAAAAAAAAAAAAAAAAAAAAGAAAAGAAAAGAAGGCAGAGACAGAAGAAAGUUGAGAAAAAUAAUGAGAACAUGAUGACACAUGAGUCAAAGAUGAACUUUGGUUUUUAACAAUUUUAUUCUGACUCUAUUUAUUUCAGCCCUAUUCAAAAUAGCCAAGAGGUGGAAGCAACCUAAAUGUCCACUGUUAAAUAAGUAGAUUAUAAAAAUGUGGUAUAUACAUGCAGUAGAAUAUUAUUCAGCCUUGAAAAAGAAGGAACUCUUAUCAUAUGCUACGAUAUGAAUGAAGAUUGCAGACAUUAUGCUACGUGAAAUAAGCCAGUCACAAAAAGACAAAUACUUUCUGUUUCCACUUACAUGAGGUAUCUAAAGGAAUCAAAUCCAGAUACGGAAGGGAGGAUGGUGGUUUCCAGUGGCUGAGAGUUUAUUCAUUGGGUAUAUGGAGUUUCCGUUUGCUAGAUAAAAGAGCUCCAGUGAUGAGUUGCACAAGAAAGUACAUAUAAUAAAUACGUUUGUACUGUACACUUAAAAUGGUUAAGAUAAAAAAUGUGCUAAAAAUGUGCAUACCUGGACAUAGAGAUAGAUAGUGGAGACUCAGGAGUAUGAGGUGGUAGGAGGGAGGUGGGCGAUGAGCAGAUACUUCAUGGGUACCAUGGAUGUCAGUCGGGUGAUGGAUACCCUAAAAGCCCUGACUUGACCACUAUGCAAUCUA